UACGUAGGGGGCAAGCGUUGUCCGGAAUCACUGGGCGUAAAGGGCGCGUAGGUGGCGGCCCAAGUCCGUGGUGAAAGCUCGCCGCUUAACGGCGAGUCGGCCACGGAGACUGGGUGGCUCGAGCACUGUAGGGGCAGAUGGAAUUCCGGGUGUAGCGGUGGAAUGCGUAGAGAUCCGGAAGAACACCAGUGGCGAAGGCGGUCUGCUGGGCAGUUGCUGACACUGAGGCGCGACAGCGUGGGGAGCAAACAGG
rnacentral:rRNA from 1 species